rnacentral:rRNA from 1 species
GAGUUUGAUCGUGGCUCAGAUUGAACGCUGGCGGCAUGCCUUACACAUGCAAGUCGAACGGCAGCACGGGCUUCGGCCUGGUGGCGAGUGGCGAACGGGUGAGUAAUACAUCGGAACGUGCCCUGUCGUGGGGGAUAACUAGUCGAAAGAUUAGCUAAUACCGCAUACGACCUGAGGGUGGAAAGCGGGGGACCGGUAACGGCCUCGCGCGACAGGAGCGGCCGAUGUCUGAUUAGCUAGUUGGUGGGGUAAGAGCCUACCAAGGCGACGAUCAGUAGCUGGUCUGAGAGGACGAUCAGCCACACUGGGACUGAGACACGGCCCAGACUCCUACGGGAGGCAGCAGUGGGGAA